AUUGAACGCUGGCGGCAGGCCUAACACAUGCAAGUAGAGAGAGCGGCGGACGGGUGAGUAGUUUCUGGGAAACUGCCUGAUGGAGGGGGAUAACUACUGGAAACGGUAGCUAAUACCGCAUACCAUCAGAUGUGCCCAGUUGGGCUUAGCUGGUAGGUGGGGUAACGGCUCACCUAGGCGACGAUCCCUAGCUGGUCUGAGAGGAUGAACCUCCACCCUGGAACGAGGACACGGUCCAGACUCCUACGGGGGACAGCAGUGGGAAAUAUUGCACAAUGGGCGCAAGCCUGAUGCGGCCAUGCCGCGUGUGUGAGGAGGGCCUUCGGUUUGUAAAGCACGUUCAGCGGGGAGGCGUUACCCGCAGAAGAAGCACCGGCUAACUCCGUGCCAGCAGCCGCGGUAAUAC
rnacentral:rRNA from 1 species